CCUACGGGAGGCUGCAGUGGGGGAUAUUGCACAAUGGGGGAAACCCUGAUGCAGCGACGCCGCGUGAGUGAAGAAGUAUUUCGGUAUGUAAAGCUCUAUCAGCCGGGAAGAAAAUGACAGUACCUGACCAAGAAGCCCCGGCUAACUACGUGCCAGCAGCCGCGGUAAUACGGCGGGGGCAAGCGUUAUCCGGAUUUACUGGGUGUAAAGGGCGCGUAGACGGUUAUGUAAGUCUGGAGUGAAAGCCCGGGGGCCAACCCCGGGACUGCUUUGGAAACUGUGUAACUGGAGUACAGGAGGGGCAUGCGGAAUUCCUGGUGUAGCGGUGAAAUGCGUAGAUAUCAGGAGGAACACCGGCGGCGAAGGCGGCCUGCUGGACUGAAACUGACGUUGAGGCUCGAAAGCGUGGGGAGCAAACAGGAUUAGAUACCCGUGUAGUC
rnacentral:rRNA from 1 species